UAAGGGCGUCCGCAAUGGUGUUUAAAUCCCUAGCUAUUUGAUCAUAGGAAGAAUGUUAUUGGCUCUCAAUGGUAAUUUGCAAAUAGCUAGCUUAAGAAGUCGCUAGCUAUUAGAAAGUCACUAGCUGUUGUGGAGAGUAUUGUGAGAGAAUUAUUUCUAGAAGAUUGUGCUAGAUUAGCAAUUUAUGAGUCGCUAGCUACUAGGAAGUCGCUAGCUAUUUGAUCUCUCUCCUCGAUAGCCAAUGAGAAUGCUACUUUUUUAUUAUUUUUAUACAUCAUCUCGUUAGCUA
rnacentral:lncRNA from 1 species